UCAGGGGUGAAAGUCGGUUGCUCAACAAUCGAAUGGCCUUUGAAACUGUGUGGCUCGAGUAUAGAUGAGGUAGGCGGAAUGUGUAGUGUAGCGGUGAAAUGCAUAGAUAUUACACAGAACCCCAAUUGCGAAGGCAGCUUACCAAACUAUUACUGACGCUGAAGCACGAAAGCGUGGGUAGCGAACAGGAUUAGAUACCCUGGUAGUCCACGCCGUAAACUAUGCUCACUCGCUGUUGGCAAUAGAUCGUCAGCGGCUAAGGGAAACCGAUAAGUGAGCCACCUGGGGAGUACGAUCGCAAGAUUGAAACUCAAAGGAAUUGACGGGGGCCCGCACAAGCGGAGGAACAUGUGGUUUAAUUCGAUGAUACGCGAGGAACCUUACCUGGGCUUAAAUGUAGAGUGCAUAAAGUGGAAACAUUUUUUUCCUUCGGGACUCUUUACAAGGUGCUGCAUGGUUGUCGUCAGCUCGUGCCGUGAGGUGUCGGGUUAAGUCCCAUAACGAGCGCAACCCCUAUCGUUAGUUACCAGCACGUAUUGGUGGGGACUCUAGCGAAACUGCCGGUGUAAACCGUGAGGAAGGUGGGGAUGACGUCAAAUCAGCACGGCCCUUAUGUCCAGGGCUACACACGUGUUACAAUGGUCGGUACAGUGGGCAGCCACAUAGCAAUAUGGAGCUAAUCUCAAAAGCCGAUCUCAGUUCGGAUUGGAGUCUGCAACCCGACUCCAUGAAGGUGGAUUCGCUAGUAAUCGCGCAUCAGCCAUGGCGCGGUGAUACGUUCCCGGGCCUUGUACACACCGCCCGUCAAGCCAUGGAAGUUUGGGGUGCCUGAAGUUCGUAACCGCAAGGAGCGACCUAGGGUAAACAAAUGACUGGGCUAAGUCGUCACAAG
rnacentral:rRNA from 1 species